rnacentral:rRNA from 1 species
UACGGAGGGUGCGAGCGUUGUCCGGAAUCACUGGGCGUAAAGGGCGCGUAGGCGGCCUGAUAAGUAGGGGGUGAAAUCCUGCGGCUUAACCGCAGGGCUGCCUUCUAAACUGUCAGGCUUGAGCACAGUAGAGGCAGGUGGAAUUCCCGGUGUAGCGGUGGAAUGCGUAGAGAUCGGGAAGAACAUCAGUGGCGAAGGCGGCCUGCUGGGCUGUUGCUGACGCUGAGGCGCGAAAGCGUGGGGAGCAAACAGG